UAGAGUUUGAUCAUGGCUCAGGACGAACGCUGGCGGCGUGCCUAAUACAUGCAAGUCGAGCGCGGGAAGCAAACAGAUCUCCUUCGGGAGUGACGUUUGUGGAACGAGCGGCGGAUGGGUGAGUAUCACGUGGGCAACCUGCCUGUAAGAUCGGGAUAACUCGCGGAAACGUGAGCUAAUACCGGAUGAAGUCUUACGCCACCUGGCGUAAGGAUGAAAGAUGGCCUUUGUGCUAUCACUUACAGAUGGGCCCGCGGCGCAUUAGCUAGUUGGUAGGGUAAUGGUCUACCAAGGCGACGAUGCGUAGCCGACCUGAGAGGGUGAUCGGCCACACUGGGACUGAGACACGGCCCAGACUCCUACGGGAGGCAGCAGUAGGGAAUCUUCCGCAAUGGACGAAAGUCUGACGGAGCAACGCCGCGUGAGUGAUGAAGGUCUUCGGAUCGUAAAACUCUGUUGUCAGGGAAGAACAAGUGACGUUCGAAUAGGGCGUGACCUUGACGGUACCUGACCAGAAAGCCCCGGCUAACUACGUGCCAGCAGCCGCGGUAAUACGUAGGGGGCAAGCGUUGUCCGGAAUUAUUGGGCGUAAAGCGCGCGCAGGCGGUCCUUUAAGUCUGAUGUGAAAGCCCACGGCUUAACCGUGGAGGGUCAUUGGAAACUGAGGGACUUGAGUACAGAAGAGGAGAGUGGAAUUCCACGUGUAGCGGUGAAAUGCGUAGAGAUGUGGAGGAACACCAGUGGCGAAGGCGACUCUCUGGUCUGUAACUGACGCUGAGGUGCGAAAGCGUGGGUAGCAAACAGGAUUAGAUACCCUGGUAGUC
rnacentral:rRNA from 1 species